rnacentral:rRNA from 1 species
UACAGAGGUCCCAAGCGUUGUUCGGAUUCAUUGGGCGUAAAGGGUGUGUAGGUGGCGCCGUAAGUCGGGUGUGAAAUUUCGGAGCUUAACUCCGAAACUGCAUUCGAUACUGCGGUGCUUGAGGACUGGAGAGGAGACUGGAAUUCAUGGUGUAGCAGUGAAAUGCGUAGAUAUCAAGAGGAACACCAGUGGCGAAGGCGAGUCCCUGGACAACACCUGACACUGAGGCACGAAAGCCGGGGGAGCAAACAGG